UNGGGAAUCUUCCACAUUCCACGAAAGCCUGAUGGAGCAACGCCCCGUGAGCGAAGAAGGUCUUCGGAUCGUAAAGCUCUGUUGUUAGGGAAGAACAAGUGCCGUAGUAACUGGCUGCACCUUGACGGUACCUUACUAGAAAGCCACGGCUAACUACGUGCCAGCAGCCGCGGUAAUACGUAGGUGGCAAGCGUUGUCCGGAAUUAUUGGGCGUAAAGCGCGCGCAGGCGGUCCUUUAAGUCUGAUGUGAAAGCCCCCGGCUUAACCGGGGGGGGGUCAUUGGAAACUGGGGGACUUGAGUGCAGGAGAGGAAAGCGGAAUUCCAUGUGUAGCGGUGAAAUGCGUAGAGAUAUGGAGGAACACCAGUGGCGAAGGCGGCUUUCUGGCCUGUAACUGACGCUGAGGCGCGAAAGCGUGGGGAGCAAACAGGAUUAGAUACCCUGGUAGUCCACGCCGUAAACGAUGAGUGCUAAGUGUUAGGGGGUUUCCCCCCCUUAGUGCUGCAGCUAACGCAUUAAGCACUCCGCCUGGGGAGUACGGUCGCAAGACUGAAACUCAANNGGGNAUUUUNUCCGGGGG
rnacentral:rRNA from 1 species